rnacentral:rRNA from 1 species
CCUACGGGAGGCAGCAGUGGGGAAUAUUGGGCAAUGGGCGCAAGCCUGACCCAGCAACGCCGCGUGAAGGAAGAAGGCUUUCGGGUUGUAAACUUCUUUUAAGAGGGAAGAGCAGAAGACGGUACCUCUUGAAUAAGCCACGGCUAACUACGUGCCAGCAGCCGCGGUAAUACGUAGGGGGCAAGCGUUAUCCGGAUUUACUGGGUGUAAAGGGAGCGUAGACGGCAGCGCAAGUCCGAAGUGAAAGCCCGGGGCCCAACCCCGGGACUGCUUUGGAAACUGUGAAGCUGGAGUGCGGGAGGGGCAGGCGGAAUUCCUGGUGUAGCGGUGAAAUGCGUAGAUAUCAGGAGGAACACCGGCGGCGAAGGCGGCCUGCUGGACCGUAACUGACGUUGAGGCUCGAAAGCGUGGGGAGCAAACAGGAUUAGAUACCCUGGUAGUC